rnacentral:rRNA from 1 species
AACGAACGCUGGCGGCGUGCUUAACACAUGCAAGUCUAACGGGAAUGUCGGCUUCGGCUGACUAGUACCGUGGCGAACGGGUGAGUAACACGUGGGUAAUCUGCCCUCGAGCUCGGGAUAACCUUGCGAAAGCGAGGCUAAUACCGGAUAAGACCACGCACUGCAUGCAGGGAGCGGUAAAAGGUGGCCUCUUCUUGAAAGCUAUCACUUGAGGAUGAGCCCGCGGCCUAUUAGCUAGUUGGUGAGGUAAUGGCUCACCAAGGCGACGAUGGGUAGCCGGCCUGGGAGGGUGUACGGCCACACUGGAACUGAGACACGGUCCAGACUCCUACGGGAGGCAGCAGUGGGGAAUUUUGCGCAAUGGGGGAAACCCUGACGCAGCAACGCCGCGUGAGUGAUGAAGGCCUUCGGGUUGUAAAGCUCUUUUAGUGGGGAAGAAGCCCUCCCUGGCUAAUAUCCAGGGGGUCUGACGGUACCCACAGAAAAAGUUCCGGCUAACUACGUGCCAGCAGCCGCGGUAAUAC